AACGAACGCUGGCGGCAGGCCUAACACAUGCAAGUCGAGCGAAGCCUUCGGGCUUAGCGGCGGACGGGUGAGUAACGCGUGGGAACGUGCCCUUUGGUACGGAAUAGCCCCGGGAAACUGGGAGUAAUACCGUAUGUGGUCGAGAGACGAAAGAUUUAUCGCCAAAGGAUCGGCCCGCGUUGGAUUAGGUAGUUGGUGGGGUAAUGGCCUACCAAGCCGACGAUCCAUAGCUGGUUUGAGAGGAUGAUCAGCCACACUGAGACUGGGACACGGCCCAGACUCCUACGGGAGGCAGCAGUGGGGAAUCUUAGACAAUGGGGGAAACCCUGAUCUAGCCAUGCCGCGUGAUCGAUGAAGGCCUUAGGGUUGUAAAGAUCUUUCAGUGGGGAAGAUAAUGACUGUACCCACAGAAGAAGCCCCGGCUAACUCCGUGCCAGCAGCCGCCGUAAAAC
rnacentral:rRNA from 1 species